rnacentral:lncRNA from 10 species
GAUUUGCAGUCGGAGGCAGGCAAGAAGUGAAAUCAGAAGACGGGAAGUGGCUGAGGGGAACGUCUUUUCUCUCUCCUGCUCAGCCCGAAGUGAACAGGUAGCAUCAGAGAUGAGAUCCUGGAUUGAAUGACUACUAUGGAAAGUGAUUGACCAAGAUUGUCUCCAUUCCUCCCUGGCUUCUCCACAGGGCCGCUCACCAUGGCAGCCGGCUCCAUCACCACCAGCCAGCGAGAGGGCAAGACAAGAGGGCUGACGAGGGACGCUACCAUCACAGAGGCUGGUCUCGAACUCCUGACCUGAGGUAAUCCGCCCACCACAGCCUCCCAAAGUGCUGGGAUUACAGGCGUGGCUAUUAGCCUCGCCAAGUUAAGAUUCUUGAUGCCAACCAAUCACCCACUCCAUGUUUUUCAGGAUUAUAAACACUAGUCAUAAAGCAUGAACUGCCUGGGGGUGGUGGCUCACACCUGUAAUCCCAGCACUUUGGGAGGCAGUUGGAUCACCUGAGGUCAGGAGUUUGAGACUAGCCUGACCAAUAUGGUGAAACCCCACCUCUAGCUGGGUGUGGUGGUGUGCACCUGUAAUCCCAGCUACUUGGAGACAGGAGAAUCGCUUGAACCUGGGAGGUGGAAGUUGCAGUGAGUGGAGAUCAUGCCAUUGUACUCCAGCCUGGGCGACAGAGCAAGACUUCAUCUCAAAAAUAAGCAUUGACAACUGCGGGUCAAAACUGCCCCUGGUUGAGACUCACUGGCUGGAGCCAAAAGGCUGAGCUGCCUGCCCAACAGCAGC